AAUGGGCGAAAGCCUGAUGCAGCCAUGCCGCGUGUAUGAAGAAGGCCUUCGGGUUGUAAAGUACUUUCAGUUGUGAGGAAGGGGGUAACGUUAAUAGCGUUAUCUCUUGACGUUAGCAACAGAAGAAGCACCGGCUAACUCCGUGCCAGCAGCCGCGGUAAUACGGAGGGUGCGAGCGUUAAUCGGAAUUACUGGGCGUAAAGCGCAUGCAGGUGGUUCAUUAAGUCAGAUGUGAAAGCCCGGGGCUCAACCUCGGAACUGCAUUUGAAACUGGUGAACUAGAGUACUGUAGAGGGGGGUAGAAUUUCAGGUGUAGCGGUGAAAUGCGUAGAGAUCUGAAGGAAUACCAGUGGCGAAGGCGGCCCCCUGGACAGAUACUGACACUCAGAUGCGAAAGCGUGGGGAGCAAACGGGAUU
rnacentral:rRNA from 1 species